GGUGACAUGGUUAAUAACAGGCUACUUUUUAAUACAUUUAUCAUUAAUUAUAAUUAUAGAUGAAAUUAGAGUGAUAAAUGGGGAUUCUCAUAAUUUGCUAUGCAUGAAAAUAUUUUCAUGUAUUAUUUUUAAAAGAAAAAUAUUUAACUGUUAUUUACAGAAGGUGACAUUUCAAAAGGCCCGAGAAAACUCUGUCAAGACAGCCCGCUUGCCAAUCCAGGAAUACAUGGUCAGACGCCAGAAUGAGAAAAACUACCAUUCAGAGAUAUUGGCCAUCAAUCAAGUAUUUGAUAUCCUGUCCACUUACUUUGAGACUCAAAACUGGCCUGAAGCAUUGAAGAAAGGAGUUUCUUCCAGAAAAGGCUAUGUUCUUCAGAACUCAGUGGAAUGAUGGACAUCCUAAGAGUGCACCUGCAGGAGGUGAAGUUGCUGGAGGGGCCUUGACCAAAGAGGAGAGCAAAGUGGUGAUGGCACACACUUGCCUUUACUUGACAUCUCGGAUCUUCAUUAGGAUGUUGUUAAUAACAGGGACCACAUUUUAUGCUCUUUUGUAUCUCCUAUAGUGCCUAGCUCACAGGAAGUGCCCUGUUUAUCUUGACUAAGUAAAAAGUUUACAUAACAAGGAAUUAGCCCUUCAACUAC